CAGGCAAGAGGGCGGAAGACAAGCCGAGAAAGGGGACAGAGGCCUUCCAGGCGGAGGAAGAGCUUGGACAAAGGCCUGGCGGGUCCCUACACGCCCCCUGCGCCCGAGCAGAGGGUGUGCAGGUGCACAGCCGGGAACUGGAGAGGUGAGGCUGGAGAGGCGGGCGGGCCUUGCUCACAUCCGGGCCAGGCUGGCACGGCGGGCGCCCUCCCCUCCCGGCAGCGACCUGGCACGCCCGUCCGCGCGACACGAGGGCACCUCCUCCGCAGAAGGGCCCUUCCUCGCCUCCCGGCGCCCCACCCUCGAGCCCCCGGCGGCGGUGCUGGCACCUGCAGAGGGCCCGUCGGGCAGCCCGGCCACCUCCGCAGUCUCGGAGCAGGUCCUCGCAGCCCUCCGCCUCUGCCCCCAGAGCCCUGGGCUCCCCCGGGCGCGGCCGGGGCUCUGAGCUCCCCCGGGAGCCUGGCGGAGGCUCUGAGCACGGGCGGGCCCUCCUCUUCUCCAUCACUGGGGUCCCUGGCUGUCGGGCCCCGGAGCCAGGCCGCCCCUCCCCGGCAGGCUCUGGAGGCGGCAGCUGUCCCCGCGGAGCCUGGGGUAAGAGGUGACGUCAGCUCGUCACCCUGCCCUCCACCUGGUCGGUUCUCUGCGUUGGGCGGCUGCCGGUCCUCCGGUGUGCAAACAGGCGCAGCCAGGCCUCCAGGUCCUCCAGGACCAAAGCCUCCCUCAAGGCCCCCUGGGCCCACGCAUGUGGGCACCUCACGCUGCAGAGGGAGUCGGGCACGUGCCUCCCCGCGAGCCACGAACGUCACUCCCAGCCACACACCCCCGAUUGCCCGCCCACUGGGGGCCCAAAAGGGUGCCCGGUGGGUUUCAUUUCAACUCAUUCUUCUAAUUUUUUGGAAUCCAAUUCACACCCAAACACAGGACUCUUUGAUCGCGGGUGUUUUUUGUUUUUUUUUUUUUUCCUGCAUUGUAUUUAUAUUUUCAUUUCUCUGUGUUUCCUCAACUGCUAGCACCGAAUGUGAAUUACCCUUUUCUUCUGAAAUUUAA
rnacentral:lncRNA from 12 species